rnacentral:rRNA from 1 species
AUUGAACGCUGGCGGCAUGCCUUACACAUGCAAGUCGAACGGCAGCACGGGGCAACCUGGUGGCGAGUGGCGCACGGGUGAGUAAUGCAUCGGAACGUACCUUUCAGUGGGGGAUAACGUAGCGAAAGUUACGCUAAUACCGCAUAUUCUGUGAGCAGGAAAGCAGGGGAUCGCAAGACCUUGCGCUGAUUGAGCGGCCGAUGUCAGAUUAGCUAGUUGGUGAGGUAAAGGCUCACCAAGGCGACGAUCUGUAGCGGGUCUGAGAGGAUGAUCCACCACACUGGAACUGAGACACGGUCCAGACUCCUACGGGAGGCAGCAGUGGGGAAUUUUGGACAAUGGGGGCAACCCUGAUCCAGCCAUGCCGCGUGAGUGAAGAAGGCCUUCGGGUUGUAAAGCUCUUUCGGCCGGGAAGAAAUCGCACGGGCUAAUACCCUGUGUGGAUGACGGUACUGGAAUAAGAAGCACCGGCUAACUACGUGCCAGCCGCCGCAGUAA